UUGCAUGAGAUAUUUAGUGAAGAGUGUCACCAUGGUUAUUGCCUGCGCUAUCUUGCAGAAAAAUUGAAUAAUGAUUUGCAAGGACAGUUUUCUCACGAAGCUAGACGUCUUAUGAUCCAAGAUUUAUAUACUGCUGCUUGUGCCCCAACACUUGAGAGUUUUGAACGUUGUGCUGAGAAUAUAAGAGCAAUCUCACCUGACGCAUAUGAUUGGGUCACUCGAAGUGAGCCCGAUCAUUGGGCGAAUGCCCUUUUUGGUGGGGCAAGGUAUGGCCACUUGACAUCAAACUUUGGACAGCCUUUUUAUGAUUGGGUGAUGGAGGUGAAUGAGCUGCCGA
rnacentral:misc_RNA from 1 species